CGCGGAGGAGGAAAAGGAGAGCAGGGAGAGGAGCGUCCCCGGAGAGAAGCCCGCUCCAGCUGCAGCCGCGAGUCCCCUCCCUCCUUCCCGCCCCGCAAAUGCGGAGAUGGCGGCGGCAGCUGCGAAGGGAAGCACCGGUUCUCCAGCGCCACUCGGCGCGCCUACACCGCCCGCCACGAGCAGAAGGAGACAGCCGCGGCGCCGCGGCUGCUGGGUCAAUAGGCGCCCGCAGCCGGAGCCGAACAGGCGGCUGGCCCCGCCCUCUCUCGACGCGCCGGGGCGGGGGCGGGGCCUCCGGCGACCAAUCACAGUGCGCCGCCCAUCGGGCCCGCUCCGCGCCCGUCUCCCUGCGCCCAGGCGGAGAAGACCUCAGACGGCUUUUGUGAACCGGAUGGCAGCCUAGGUGGAGGUGAGGCCUUCAGAGGCCUGCCAGCGCCAGCACUCCGGUUCCACAGGGGCUGAGCUCUCUCCCCACUUCCUUUUCGCUGCCCAGGUUUCCUGUCCUUGAGGACCGGGCCUGGCGUGCCUGGGAUGUCAACUCGGUGAGGAGCUGUAGAAAUAGAGAAAGGGCCUUUGCAUUCUGUUCAGACUCAUCUUCUCCUCUGUUGCUUUUGGUGAUUUCUUGGUGAAACGGAGGGAAAGGAGACUGCCAAACGACCUCUGGCUACAGAGUCUCUGAGUGGAGCCUGAGAAGUGAUGCUUGUGCAGGUUAUUGCUCUAUUGCCGCGCUGUUCCAAAUCCGCCCUUUUUGACUGCACUGUGAAAAUGGAUCUGGGCCCUUUUAAGCAUCUCGUGUUUUCUUCUGGCAUCCAUGAAACAGUGACAGGCCCCAGACCCUUCACAGAUCCUGAAACUACUCGUCUGCCUAAGAGAAUCAUGACACUGUUGGCAUAAUCUUCACCUCCUUAUGCUUUCCCUUCCAUGAAGCUAAGAAUGAGGAUGAGUCAAGUAACAUAAUAAACUUCUGAGAAGGUUUCUCUUAGUAGACUACGAAGCUAAAGAUCAAGAUGUGGAAAGAAUAACAAAUCUCUUAGUGAAAAAACAGCCAAGAAAAUUACUGCUCUCCUAGCUCAAAGAGAAACAUUAAUUAAAGGUAAGACACAGGCAAGAAAUAAAAUGGAGAACUUGUAAGAGUAAAUUAUAUUAUAAUUAACA